UACGUAGGGGGCUAGCGUUGUCCGGAUUUAUUGGGCGUAAAGAGCGUGUAGGCGGCCAGGUAGGUCUGCUGUGAAAACUCGAGGCUCAACCUCGAGACGUCGGCGGAAACCAUCUGGCUAGAGUCCGGAAGAGGAGAGUGGAAUUCCUGGUGUAGCGGUGAAAUGCGCAGAUAUCUGGAGGAACACCGGUGGCGAAGGCGGCAUCCUGGACCGGCAUUGACGCUGAGGCGCGAAAGCCAGGGGAGCAAACGGG
rnacentral:rRNA from 1 species